AAUGAACGCUGGCGGCAUGCCUAACACAUGCAAGUCGAACGAGAGCUUCGGGCCUAGUGGCGCACGCGUGCGUGAAGCGUUGAAACCUGCCCAUAGGUUCGGCAGAAAUCCCCGGAUGGGGUGCUAAUACGGGCUAAUGUCCUCGGACCAAGGUUUGGUCGCCUUUGGGUGGGCCUGCGUUGGAUUAGCUAGUUGGUAGGGUAAAAGCCUACCAAGGCGACGUUCCAUAGCUGGUCUGAGAGGAUGGUCAGCCACACUGGGACUGAGACACGGGCCAGACUCCGGCGAGAGGGAGCAGUGGUGAAUAUUGGACAACGGGCGAAAGCCUGAUGCAGCAGGGCCGCGGGAGUGAUUAAGGCCUUAGGGUUGGAAAGAACUUAUACCCGGGAUGUUAAUGACAGUACCGGAGGAAUAAGACCCGCUAAAUUCCUU
rnacentral:rRNA from 1 species